UAUUACUGCUAGCUAGGUAGGAAUGCCUGGAUCUUCGAUGACAGCAAAGUUCAUUCAAGACUGGUUGCGAACAGGACCCUUCGUUAUGCGGAGGAGAUCCCCGCACUGUCACGCUGUCAAAGCUGCCUAGCUAGCCUACCAUCACCAAUACCGAGCGGUCUCCUCCAUCCACCGGAGAGGAAUGACUGACGUCAUACGCAUAUGAAUGUCCUCUUCUUUUUUUUGCGUCAAGGUAUGAGUUCUUGGCCUUCUCCCCUUACCGUUCUUGGCGCUUCUUUAGAUCUAUCACAAGAAAAUAUCCUCCUCGGUAUCACCUUCUCUUUCGAUCAUUCUUUAUGCUUCUUGAGAUCGUUCUUGAGAUAAUUUGCAAGAAGAUUUAGGCCUUCGAUUUAGGAUUUCAGUAGAUGUUCUUUUAUUGUUUUUAUUUCUCGUAGAUUCAUCGGUUUAAUUGAGAAAUUCGGGUUCCAAUGCUACACAUGUUGUGAAGUGAACUACUCAUCUUUUAAGGCUGUUCACCAAGGAGCUGCUUAAAGAUCAGACGAGCUGGGGAAUAGUCGGUCCGUCGGUUAUUCAGGCUUUCUUUUGAAAGUUUUAAGCGAUUUUUAGAAAAACUUUUUGAAAGUUAUCUUUAUGAUAGCCUAUUCCGAAUGGGGUAUCUUGAUGGUUUCCUGAACCCGCCUGCACCUAUUUCUAAGGUCUCUCCAUAUGUGAUUUUGUUCUGCUUUUCCUUGAUCCCCAAACCAGUUUUUCUGCAGCCAGUGUUUAACCUGAUUUAUCUUUCUUGGUGCAAGAUUUAGUUUUUCAAGAAAUCAUCUGUUUUAAAUUCUUGAUAACUUUGUGGGUUGUACACUUAUUUGAACGUUGCUGUAUUGCUUUGAUUGUUGAUCUAGUGUUAUCACUAAUUAAUUUGUAGUAUCUGUUACUGAAGAUUUUUUUUUACUAUGGAUUACAUUUACGGAAAUACAAAUGGCCUCUCUAUUUUAUACAUACUCAUGUUGACAUCAGUUUGUGCGGGUGGUCCAAGAACAUCUGAUCUUUUUGCAAUUCCUUUUUUUUUAUUAAGUCAUUUUUACUAUAAUCACCUUAUUUAUGGUGUCUAUUACUGGAGAUAUCAAUUUGUUUCCUCUAGAAUUUGGCUUACAGAAGUAAAUUUAGUUUCUCCGCUCUAUAUGUGCUAUUUUUUUGCGGAUUUGUGAAAUAUUGUGUUGUUUGCAUUGUUGGUGGUCUUUCAUCAUCUGAUCUUUUUUGCAAUUACACUCUUGGUCAUCAUUAAUUGUUAUUAUGUUUUGUCAUCCUCUAACUUUUAAUCUUUCACAACAUUUAAUCUUCAACCAACUUGGCCUCCAUGAAAUUCUGUCUCAAAUGAUAGAUGCUACACUGCUUAUAUAUUUUUAAGAAAAAUGAUAAGAAACAAUGAAGGUCUUCAGUCAUAGCCUAGACAACAAUGUUGUUGUCUAAUAUUAAGUCACCGUCAACAAGUUUUCACUUUUGUCAUAAUUGCCAGCAGUAGUUUUUUCCUUUAUAUAUAUAUUAGUCCAUAAAAGUAGGUAAUCGUUCCCUUUAGCAUUAUGUUAGAAAUUAAAUGAGCAUCCAUUCUCAGACUCAUAUGCCUGAAUCGUUGAUGACUAGAGAAGAUUAAAGUUAACAUGAUGUGGAGUGUCUAACAGAGUUGCUCUCAUAAUUACUUAAGCACAAAUAGUACUUUGUUAACACCGAACACUUCUAUUGAAGCUCCAGGAUCUUAGCUCCUCGUUCAAAUCUCCAAGAGGAGGUGAGAGCUUUGGCUGAGCUUUUCCUUUCUUCUACCGUCCAAAUUUUUCAUCAGCAUUUCUCUGUUCUUCCAUAAAAUUUCUCUCUAUCAGAUUCUUUGGUCUCUAUAGCAAGCAUAUAUUGAACAGAGAUUGGUGCACGAGAGAGAUGUUGAUGGAGGUGUACGUGGAGAAUAUGAAGAGUUUGUGUGCUUAAAUGAACUAUGAUUCCUUAUACUCUCUUCUUUUGUUGCAUUUGGAUCUUUGGAUCUCUAUAUAUUUGUGGAGUUAGGUUUCGUGUAAGCUAAUGAGUUUUCUUUGUUUUUUUCUCUAUACAUGUCUCGCUAUCUUUUGUUUGGGGACUUAGUGAUCAAGGAGUACAUGGGCAUGAGAUCCAUUGAGGAGCAAAAGUAGAAGCAUUGAUCAAGGCUUUAGAGAGAGAGAGAGCGCUACAGCUAGAUACACCAGUGCGCCCAAAUACACAGUCUCACACUGCAGCAUAUAUUAGCAACAGAAUAGUCGUCUUUAGCUCUUAAGAUGGAAAGAAUGAAAGCUCUUUCUUUUUUAUGAAUCUGACCGGAGAAAGACUAAAAUACGGCAAAUUAAUGGCUUUAAGGGCACAUGCGAGCAAAGUAGCUCUUUUGUCAUCUCUUCAAAGAAAUGGCGGCAAUCAGUUUCUUGCUGCCUCUUUGUUCUGGAAAGAUCAGCCAGGAUCAAAACCCUGCCACCUUGCCCUACUAUCUGAGCAAGCACUCGAUUGUGUCUUUCUUUAGAUUUCAUUUAGACAGGUAGGGAGCCUGGAGAGAGCGCGGCUGAACAAGGUGGUUGAAGAUAUGGUGAAGAUAAAGCCUAGAUUGACUCUGAGACAGUGGAGACGAAGCAGAGGAAGCUCUCUUACAUGGAGAAAGAAUCCUCUACCCUUUCCAAUGUCAUCAUUUUCUAAGACAUCCAAAGAUAUUAACUAGACACUGGAGUUUCUUCAACAAGAAAUGGCCAUCCUAUCAGAAGAAAUAAAACAGAAAAAGGUAUGCUGCAGUGAGAGUUCUAUUACAUUUUCUUCAUAUCGGUUACCAAAUUUUUGGUUUUUAAUAGAUUAUACUAAUCAAAGAUCACAGAUGAGUUGAACAUCAAACAUUAGGCUCUGGUGAAGUCUUUCGAAGCUUUUUUGACCUGUCAUAUCUCCCCUUUGCUUGUCUUAUGCUUCCUGUUUGCAAUUCUGUAUAACAAAAACUUUUAAUAUUCAUAUUUUCCGUUCUUUUUGCCUUGUCGUUAGGACUGGUUGAACUCACAUAAGCAGAAAAUGAUAGAAGAUGCUUGACUAGUAAGUUUCAGUAAUAUUCACUGGGAUCCUAUGCACACUUGGAUACAAUAUUGAAUUGCAAGCACUCCUUGUUUGUAUGACUGGUUCAGCUGUACAAUAGUAACAUGAAAAUAGGUACCAUAUCAAUUUUCUUCCUAUGAAAAUAGUUGUAGUCCUCAUAUGCAGUUCUUGUUGCCCAAGUUGGACUAACCUCAGCUAAUUUAUUUUUUUUGUAAGUUAAAGUUUUUCGCUGUAGAGCAUGGAUUACUUGUAUGUGUACAAGAAAGUUUUAACUCCAUCUGUUAGUGUAAUCACAGUCUUGCCUACUAAUUAGAUAAGCUUAUCUCCAAUUUUACCAUUAAUCUGAUGAUUUUACUGACGUAGGCUGAGGAAUGUCCCAGUAUGACAGUGAAUGACUACAUUGGUGGUUUGAUGCUUCUGAUACAUAUUUGUUUGUUUGUUUACUUGUAUUCAUUGUUAAUAACAGAAGAGUGCAGCAUUUUUUUUGGCCGGAUAUUCUUACAUAUCCUUUCUAUGAAUAGUUAGAAUCAUAUCUUGUUUUAACUUAUUCUAUAAUCAUCUAUAUGCUUGAUAGUUAUGUACAAUCGCAUCAGCAACAUCUGCAUAAGAAUCUGUGAUCUCCUUUAUAAAGUGAGUUAUCCUCUCUUCAUUUGGUUGAGCAAUCUGCUGUGACCUGAUGUCUCGAUCGGACUCUGCAAAAAGCCAAAAACUAAGCUUGAAGAACUAGAAGCAAAAGAAUCCGAAAUUACUGCAGCCAAGAACAAGCACAGCAAGCCAACUUCCCCAAUGAGAGGUUUGUGGUCUCUCGCAGCCUGCUCCUGGUGGACCAGGAACUCUGGCAGCUGUGCAGAUUUAGCAGAGUUUAUGAGCAUUUGCCUGAUGGCAAAUACUUGCGUUUGUUUCCCUGGGUUUAAUGGAUUGAGCACCUUCUAGCUGGAGGAGCGUAAACACUCUUUGAAAAAUAGCAGCUACUAGUUUUUCAGCCUGUAAUAAAAUCCUAUAGAUGGGAAUUUCACAAGCUGUUACAUGACAAUGUGGAGAAGAGUACAGGGUAGAGCUGAUGGGUGAAGGUACGGGUUGCAUGCUCAAGACCUCAAUACUGUUCAAAACUGUGCAAUGCACUGAACACUGGUCUUUGUAAAACUGGUAAACACAAAAAAUUUGGGGAAAAAAGAAGAAAGAAAACUAAUGGUUAUAUUAUUGGUAGACUUGGACUGUGUGAUGUGCUGUUAAAUUCUACGUUCUUGGGUUCAGGUAAGUAAUCAUUGCUAAAGAUUUGUCACUUGUUUUAUUACUCAAUUUGAUGAUCGAUUAAUCAUGAAAAA